rfam:Nematostella vectensis strain CH2 x CH6 NEMVEscaffold_12655_Cont57524, whole genome shotgun sequence.
GACUAGGGGAAUCCGACUGUUUAAUUAAAACAAAGCAUUGCGAUGGCCGGAAACGGUGUUGACGCAAUGUGAUUUCUGCCCAGUGCUCUGAAUGUCANAGUGAAGAAAUUCAACCAAGCGCGGGUAAACGGCGGGAGUAACUAUGACUCUCUUAAGGUAGCCG